UGUCAGCAGCCGCGGUAAUACGUAGGGUGCAAGCGUUGUUCGGAAUUACUGGGCGUAAAGGGGGAGUAGGCGGAAAGAAAAGUCAGAUGUGAAAGCCCUGUGCUUAACGCAGGAAGAGCAUUUGAAACUAUCUAACUAGAGUGUAUUAUGGGAGCGUGGAAUUCCUAGUGUAGCGGUGAAAUGCGUAGAUAUUAGGAGGAAGACUCGUGGCGAAGGCGACGCUCUGGGGUAACACUGACGCUGAGGACCGAAAGCAUGGGGAGCAAACAGGAUUAGAUACCCUGGUAGUCCAUGCCGUAAACGAUGAGAGCUACUCGUAGGUUUCGUUGACGAAAUCUGUGGGUGAGUAAACACAUUAAGCUCUCCGCCUGGGAAGUACGGUCGCAAGAUUAAAACUCAAAGGAAUUGGCGG
rnacentral:rRNA from 1 species